rnacentral:lncRNA from 1 species
UGAGCCCAAAGUCAGGGCCGGAGGCAGCUUGGAAUCAACGCCUAGAAAAGCGUGAGUCCGCACCCUUGUGCGCUGUAAGGUGGUCUGGGUUCCGGCCCCAUGUGAGCGAUCGCGUGAGGGGCGCAGCGGCUCGAAUGAAAAGCCGGACUUUUCCCUCAUCGAUGGUCGCCACUGCUACCCUAUAUCGCACCCGAAUCCUCCCUCCGGAGUAUCGUCUUCUCCAUCUCCGAGGCCAGCAGCGGCAGCGACGAGGCUGUGGGUCGGCGGACCGCCCUUAAGGAAUCAGCAUUCGCCUGACCGUUCUGCUGCGGGCCUCUCCAAGAUCUCGCCUCUCUCGCCUCCGCCUCCGGCCACGGUCUCUUCAUCCCCUUCCUCAUGUGCCUCUUCGGCACCGCCUAGUCCUGCACUUCCUCUAUUUCGAGAGCUGGGCCACCGGUCAUCUCACAGACCUCCUCUCUGCCACCUAGCCCGCUGCCGCUUCCACCGACCCUAAUCCCCCGAUCCCCUGCCCAAGAACCCUAAUCUCUCGAUCCUGCCUCAGCCCGCCGCCUCCUCUCCAAGGUGAUAGACAAGUUGCCCAAACGGGCCAAUUCGGGUCCCGGGUCUGGAGCGGGUUUAGGUCUUGAUUCUGCUAAAAUUUUUGGAGCCUACCCGGCUCCAACUCCACCGUUUGCUUAACCAGGUUGCAUCCUGGACUCCCGGAUCAUCAAUGGUUAAGUAUGGCAAGUUUAUUAAUUAUUUUGAGUCAUUAAUGAUAAUUUGGUCCUUUUUAUAUUGUUCUCCAAAUUUUACAUGCAUGUUAAGCGUGG